AGUAAACUAGGGAGUAGCGUGGAUAAGGGUCGGGGCAUGGCCCGCUUGUCCCCCUGUUCUUCCUCCCCCCCCCCUCUUUUUUCUUCUUCUCUCUUUCCUUCCUUUCCUUUCUCUCCUCUCUUUCCUUUUUCUCUUCAUUCAUUUCUCCCUUGAAACUCAAGGGAAUUUCUUAAAUUAAAGUCUUACUAUAUGUUUGAAUGCUCGUACAAAAACAAAAACCCUCGGUGGAAGGUACGAGGUGCGAAUCAGCCAUACGCAAAAUCUGGCGUUUUACUGUAUGUUAUCUAUAUCUUAACUCAGCCAUGUUUCAAAUGUAGCGUUACGAGCGUUGUGAAUAAGGCUUCUGCGUAAGCCAGAUUGUCGUUGGCAUGUUACUG